CCCCUAGAUGUUCUGGGCCGCACGGGCGCUACACUGAACAGUUCAACAAGUCUUAACCUUGGCCGAUAGGUCUGGGUAAUCUUUGAACGCUGUUCGUGAUUGGGAUAGACCUUUGCAAUUAUGGGUCUUCAACGAGGAAUUCCUAGUAAACGCAAGUCAUCAGCUUGCAUUGAUUACGUCCCUGCCCUUUGUACACACCGCCCGUCGCACCUACCGAUUGAAUGGUCCGGUGAAAUCUCGGGACGGCGGCUUGGUCGCUUGCGUCCGACUGCUGAAACUUGAUUAAACCAUAUCAUUUAGAGGAAGGUGAAGUCGUAACA
rnacentral:rRNA from 1 species